UACGGAGGGUGCAAGCGUUAUUCGGAUUCACUGGGCGUAAAGGGUGCGCAGGCGGUUGGGUGUGUCAGAUGUGAAGUCCCGAGGCUUAACCUCGGAACUGCACCUCAAACUACAUGGCUAGAGCAUUGGAGAGGGUAGCAGAAUUCAUGGUGUAGCAGUGAAAUGCGUAGAUAUCGGGAGGAACACCGGUGGCGAAGGCGGCGACCUGGGUCGAGACUGACGCUGAGGCGCGAAAGCGUGGGGAGCAAACAGG
rnacentral:rRNA from 1 species